rnacentral:rRNA from 1 species
AUUGAACGCUGGCGGCAGGCCUAACACAUGCAAGUCGAACGGUAACAGAAAGCAGCUUGCUGCUUUGCUGACGAGUGGCGGACGGGUGAGUAAUGUCUGGGAAACUGCCUGAUGGAGGGGGAUAACUACUGGAAACGGUAGCUAAUACCGCGUAACGUCGCAAGACCAAAGAGGGGGACCUUCGGGCCUCUUGCCAUCGGAUGUUCCCAGAUGGGAUCAGCUAGUAGGUGGGGUAACGGCUCACCUAGGCGACGAUCCCUAGCUGGUCUGAGAGGAUGACCAGCCACACUGGAACUGAGACACGGUCCAGACUCCUACGGGAGGCAGCAGUGGGGAAUAUUGCACAAUGGGCGCAAGCCUGAUGCAGCCAUGCCGCGUGUAUGAAGAAGGCCUUCGGGUUGUAAAGUACUUUCAGCGAGGAGGAAGGUGUUGAGGUUAAUAACCUCAGCAAUUGACGUUACUCGCAGAAGAAGCACCGGCUAACUCCGUGCCAGCCGCCGCCGUAA